UGGGGAAUAUUGCACAAUGGGCGCAAGCCUGAUGCAGCCAUGCCGCGUGUGUGAAGAAGGCCUUCGGGUUGUAAAGCACUUUCAGCGAGGAGGAAGGUGGUGAGCUUAAUACGCUCAUCAAUUGACGUUACUCGCAGAAGAAGCACCGGCUAACUCCGUGCCAGCAGCCGCGGUAAUACGGAGGGUGCAGGCGUUAAUCGGAAUUACUGGGCGUAAAGCGCACGCAGGCGGUUUGUUAAGUCAGAUGUGAAAUCCCCGGGCUCAACCUGGGAACUGCAUUUGAAACUGGCAAGCUAGAGUCUCGUAGAGGGGGGUAGAAUUCCAGGUGUAGCGGUGAAAUGCGUAGAGAUCUGGAGGAAUACCGGUGGCGAAGGCGGCCCCCUGGACGAAGACUGACGCUCAGGUGCGAAAGCGUGGGGAGCAAACAGGAUUAGAUACCCUGGUAGUCCACGCUGUAAAACGAUGUCGAUUUUGGAGGUUGUGCCCUUGAGGCGUGGCUUCCGGAGCUAACGCGUUAAAUCGACCGCCUGGGGAGUACGGCCGCAAGGUUAAAACUCAAAGGAAUUGACGGGGUCAUAGCUGUUUCCU
rnacentral:rRNA from 1 species